rnacentral:tRNA from 1 species
GCUUGGCUUGUUCAGUCGGUAGAGCAUGAGACUCUUAGUCUCAGGGUUGUGGGUUCAAGCCCCACGUUGGGUG